UACGGGGGGGGCAAGCGUUGUUCGGAAUUACUGGGCGUAAAGGGCUCGUAGGCGGCCAACUAAGUCGGAUGUGAAAUCCCCAGGCUUAACCUGGGAACUGCAUCCGAUACUGGAUGGCUUGAAUUCGGGAGAGGGAUGCAGAAUCCCAGGUGUAGCGGUGAAAUGCGUAGAUAUCUGGAGGAAUACCGGUGGCGAAGGCGGCAUCCUGGACCGGCAUUGACGCUGAGUGAGCGAAAGCCAGGGGAGCAAACGGG
rnacentral:rRNA from 1 species